UCCACCUCUCCUCCUGCCUCCAUCGCUAGCCCUGGUUCCCCUCUCAUACCUGUGUUGUCAUGUGUUGGAUCAGUCUGUGCUGUGGUUCUACUGGUGUUACUGGUUCUGCUGGUGAAACAAUGUGUUCACAGAAAACCUGAAGCAGAUCAAGAAGAAACCGAAGAUGACAUCAUCACUCAUGUCAAGUACAACAUCAAAACAUCCAGUCAUCAACAACAACCAAUCAGACGAAGCAGAGCAGAUCAAGAGGAAACUGGAGAAGAUGACAUCCUGACUCAUGUCAAGUACAACAUCAAAGCAUCCAGUCAUCAAAAACAACCAGACAGACGAAGCACAGAGAUUGAUGCAGUUGCAGUGAGAAGGAGGAGCAAGGAGGUCCAGG